rnacentral:rRNA from 1 species
UGGGGAAUUUUGGACAAUGGGCGAAAGCCUGAUCCAGCAAUGCCGCGUGUGUGAAGAAGGCCUUCGGGUUGUAAAGCACUUUUGUCCGGAAAGAAAUCCUUGGCUCUAAUACAGUCGGGGGAUGACGGUACCGGAAGAAUAAGCACCGGCUAACUACGUGCCAGCAGCCGCGGUAAUACGUAGGGUGCAAGCGUUAAUCGGAAUUACUGGGCGUAAAGCGUGCGCAGGCGGUUUGCUAAGACCGAUGUGAAAAUCCCCGGGCUCAACCUGGGAACUGCAUUGGUGACUGGCAGGCUAGAGUAUGGCAGAGGGGGGUAGAAUUCCACGUGUAGCAGUGAAAAUGCGUAGAGAUGUGGAGGAAUACCGAUGGCGAAAGGCAGCCCCCUGGGCCAAAUACUGACGCUCAUGCAACGAAAAGCGUGGGGAGCAAAACAGGAUUAGAUACCCUGGUAGUCCACGCCCUAAAACGAUGUCAACUAGUUGUUGGGGAUUCAUUUCCUUAG